rnacentral:misc_RNA from 1 species
CAAAUUCAAAUCUCUCCUGCCUGCAACUGCUAAAGUAAAAUGUGUUUCAGAUGCUGGUUAUUUUAUUCAUGGACAGGAUGUUGCUGGUGGGUAUGAAAUCCAAAAAUUCUUCGGUCGAAUAGUUGGAUUACAUGGAUCAGUAAAGAGUCUUCCUCCAUCUUGCACAUCAAGAAUGAAACCAGAAUUGUGCUUCUUCCCACAAUAUGUAACUCGGACUAUGCAAACUCCACUUUUUGUUAUUAAUUCAGCCUAUGAUUUCUGGCAGCUAAAGAAUGUUCUGGCACCCAGUGCUGUUGAUUCAAAAGGAACCUGGAAGAGCUGCAAACUUGACUUAAAGAAGUGCUCAGCUGCUCAACUCAAAACUGUGCACAAUUUCAGGUUGCAAUUCUUAAAUGCUUUGAGCAUUGGAGCUGGCAGCAAACCAUCAAAUGGAUUGUUCAUAAACUCUUGCUAUGCACACUGCCAAUCUGGAUCAGCU